GGUACGAUGGCCGAGUGGUCUAAGGCGUGUGACUCAAGCGAAAGCUUGCUCUGUAUGUAGAGCACAAGAGUUCUCAUCUACGUAAGUAGGCGUGGGUUCAAAUCCCACUCGUAUCA
rfam:Exidia glandulosa HHB12029 unplaced genomic scaffold EXIGLscaffold_104, whole genome shotgun sequence.